rnacentral:rRNA from 1 species
CAGUCGCCGCGGUAAUACGUAGGGUGCGAGCGUUAAUCGGAAUUACUGGGCGUAAAGCGUGCGCAGGCGGUUUUGUAAGACAGGCGUGAAAUCCCCGGGCUCAACCUGGGAAUGGCGCUUGUGACUGCAAAGCUAGAGUGCGGCAGAGGGGGAUGGAAUUCCGCGUGUAGCAGUGAAAUGCGUAGAUAUGCGGAGGAACACCGAUGGCGAAGGCAAUCCCCUGGGCCUGCACUGACGCUCAUGCUCGAAAGCGUGGGGAGCAAACAGGAUUAGAUACCCCCGUAGUCCCUGUCUCUUAUAC